GUUAAAACACCUGUUCUCGUCCGAUCACCGAAGUUAAGCUACGUCGCGACUGGUGAGUACCACGAUGGGUGACCGCUUGGGAAUACCAGGGGCAGCAA